CUGAGAUUGCGCGUGCGCGUUGGAAGGGGAGCUCUGCAAGUGGGCGGGGUCCUGCCUCCUUUGCCAAGCGGCAGGUACAGCGAGGCUCAGUUCUUUUGUCCGCAGCCCGGAUUCGCGGUUCUUUUUGAAGCUUUGUUUAAGCCCUCUCGCGGGAGUUGCAAAAGAUCCUCACUAAGAGACAAUAGAAAGUUAUGGCUUGAUUGACCCGGGAAUCCUAGUAUAGCUGGUAGGCAUGUAGGAGGCCUUUCCCGGUAGUGAUGUAUGGAAGUGAGAGCUGGACCAUAAAGAAGGCUGAUCACUUGAUGCUUUUGAAUUCUGGUGCUGGAGGAGACUCUUGAGAGUCCCAUGGACUGCAAGAAGAUCAAACCUCUCCAUUCUGGAGGAAAUCAGCCCUGAGUGCUCACUGGAAGGACAGAUUCUGAAGCUGAGGCUCCAAGACUUUGGCCACCUCCUGAGAAGAGAAGACUCCCUGGAAAAGACCCUGAUGUUGGGAAAGAUGGAGGGCACAAGGAGAAGGGGACGACAGAGGACGAGAUGGUUGGACAGUGUUCUCGAAGCUACCAACAUGAGUUUGACCAAACUGCGAGAGGCAGUGGAAGACAGGAGUGCCUGGCGUGCUCUGGUCCAGGGGGUCACGAAGAGAUGGACAUGACUAAAUGACUCCUCAACAACAACAACAUGUGGGAGGCCACCCCAAGUGGCAUACACGUGGUUCUCUGCCUCUCCUCAUUUAAUCCCCACAACAACCCUGCGAGGUCGCCUAGAGACCCAAGGUCACCCAGUGAGUUUCAUGGAUGAGUAGGGAUUUGAACCCAGGCCCUAGUCCUCCUCCAGCACACAAAUUCCCCCAACCCCAUGCAUGGGCUCCCCAGCCCCCUCUCGCCUGGCCCUGCUCCUUGGCCACCUGCCAAGCACACAUGGGCGAAGGAUAAGAACAUCAGGAGCUGCCCCUUAGCCCAUCCAGCUCAGUAGUGCUGGCACAGACUGGCAGCAGAACCUCCCCAGGGUGCCAGACAAGGGCCUUUCCUACACCUGGAGAUGCCCCUGGAAAUUGAACUUGAGACCUUCUGCCUGCAAAGGAGAUGCUCUGCCCCUGAGCUACGGCCCUUCAUCUAAAAACAAAGUGAAGAUUCUAGUCCUCAUGUUUUUGAAUCAAGGGCCAGUCACUGCCUCUCAGCUUAACCUACCUCACAGGGUUGUCGUGGGGACUGAUUGGAGAGGGAGAGAACUCUGUACGCCAGC